UGCAUUUACUUAACUUGGUGAGGACCUGUCAGCUCCGUCAUUUGCUUAGCAUUUCUGAGAUCCGGCUACUGGCUACUUGGUGACGCUUUUCUGCCUUCCAAACUUUUGCGGAGACUUGUCGUACGACCUCUGGGUUGCCCCCUGCGUGGUCAUUUAUUAUACUGAUGACUAGGGAAGGAGGAAAAUGGCUAAAAAGUACAACCCAGGGGAAGAACAGCGCCAAGGGGAGCCGUGUGUAAGAUGUGGAACAAUUAGGUCCUGAGGUUGAAGAGCUGACGGAAUUCACAAAAGGAGGGAAGGCGUAAUAAACACAUGCCUGAAGAUUUGAGAGAUUCAGACUUUUAAGUCACUAAACAGGAAUGAACUAACUUGCCCUGAACGGCUGUGUUCCAGAAGGGCAAGAAGAAGAAUCACAAAGGCUUGGUUAGAGCUUGAGGGAGACCGGAGAGCAUCCUGUCCAGACUCCUAGUGAUUCCAGAUAAGACCCCGAGGACCAGAGAGUGACUUUCACAGCAUCCACAGAGUCAGGAACUUAUCAACACCUCAUGGAAGGUUCUCGUACACUGUGCCGUGCUCUGCUAAGCUCCACUGACACACGUUUGUACCCGUAUCAUUUAUUCAAGUGUCAGAAACCUAUGUACAAGUUUGUAAUGGUGUAAAACAGUGCUAUAAGUGUCAUAGUGCGGGGCUGUCAGGAUGUGGCCACAGGCUACCUGACACCCUCUCCCCCAGACGUGGCCGCUGGGCUGACACUGAUGAAGUUCUGGUCGAGCAGUAAGAAUGAUUACACCAAAGACGUGGGUGUGAGAAGCUGCCCUCGUGAAUACUGCACCAGAUUAGGUGAGAAACAGAGCAGUGUCCCCAGGCAUUUAACUCAAAGUGGAAGCAGGGGCCGGCUCCUGUCUCCAGAGCCACCCUUUGCUUUCAGUGCUUCAGUGGCUGAUUACUGAAGAUGCUUGGAGCAUCUCUCAAGAAAACGAGGGCUCACUCCCAGAGCAGUUUCAUCCUGCCUGGCGAGGAUGCUGAGUGCUUCUAGCAUUCUCUCCCACUUUGCUCCCCUUUCCCACAGCUUGUGACCAAAACACCAUCCCUGCUGCAGGAAUGUCUUCCUCUGCCAGUUUUCCACAACCCAGAACUUAAAGGCCACUUAAUGUUUUUCCUCACCAAAGGUUCAGAGUCAGCGGAGGAAAUACAUAAGUGUGUUUGUCCCUUGCUGGACAGAAUCGUGAGGGGCACUUGUUAGGGUGAGGACUCUGGCUGUUUUGUGUUCUGUGAAAGACCUGAGAGAUUCUGAACUUAACAACAAAUUCUGACAAGGAGCUUAAGAAGCCGACUACUUAAGUCCCAGGGGCAGCACUGAACACUUAAGGCCGAGUGACGGUUUUCCCAGAAACCGAAUAGAAAAGCUGGCCUUGCAGGUGAGCUGGCUUUUAAAAGUUUUCCCAGCCCUUGUCACAAGGCCAGGUACUCCUUCUGGGCUGAAGAAGACCUCUUGUGAAGAUCAGGUGAAUGGGCCUCUUGAAUUAGUUAAAAUUUCAUAUGCUCUUGAACUUGUUUUCAGCUACAGUUUUUUUUUAAUUUAAACAAUUUUAUUGUGGUAUAAUUUCUGUACA